rfam:Medicago truncatula strain A17 unplaced genomic scaffold scaffold0022, whole genome shotgun sequence.
AAGAAGUGUGACAUUCCGUUUAUGUGAAUUACUCUGAUUAAAUAAAUGAAAUUUUUACGUUGGGAAAACGGGGUGUUACACUUCA